GAAGAUGAAGACUCCACUCCAAACUACUCCGUCCAAGAAUACAAGGCUCGCCCAGUUCCCAGUCACAGGGCUUUCUUUUGGGGGAGGAGCAGGAUGUCAGUAUUCUUCAUUCUGCUCCCAGUGUGCCAGCCAUGGGUAUGGCCAAGUCUUCUCUUCCUUCAGUGGCACAUGUUCUCAGGAAAGUGGUUGGCUGGCCUCCUCCUUCUGCAGCACUUUUGGAUCUGACAGCAUUCCUGCCACCACCACUCUUCCCAGGCUGUUGCAACAUCUGACUGGAUGCACGGAACUCCUACAGCCUGGCCAUGUCUGUGUCAUGUUGAACUCUGAUGGGUUCCUGUUGGUCUUGGGCUACCUACUACUCUGCAGUCUGAGGCUUUAACCACACAGUCCUGCAUUUUUUCUCUUCACACAUCUCAGACUCAUAUUACUGCCUGAAGCAUAAAAAAGCCAAGAGAUUCUUGAUACAUGUGCCAGUAAUUCAAUGCCCACGGAAAUAGAGAACAUCCAGAGGCAGGGCCUGUGGGGUAAAAGAGACUGACGGCGGCUAAGCCAUGUCCUGGGUCAAUGGUAAGCACUAAGGUUGAGAGUAAACACAAGAUUGUCCCUAAAAGAUGGGAUAUAUUCUAUAAACAAUGGGAGGCAAAAUAAAGCUGUUUCAGAGUUCAGUGUAGAGAACAGGAAUGUUUCCAAGACAAAUUGGGGGCUGGCACAAAGUCAUGAAGAGUGAGACUGUCAGCAGUGACAAGAACAGAAUUGGUGACAAAGACCCACUCUUGUUUGUAAAGCCAAGGGCUUUGUCUGUCCCACUCCAUAGGAAGUAAUGAAGAAGAGUGUCAAAAGCGAUGGGUGUGCUUGUGCAGGCACAUGAGAGAUCCCAUCAUUACUAGAAUUGUGUGGAUUUAUGAGACACUCUCACAUCUACACCUAUAUUAUAGUACGCACCUCACAUGUGUAUCUACCUAAUUUAAAGAAUACUAUUUCGGUAUAAAUUUACUAUUUUCUAUGAGACAAGCAUAGUGCUAAGCCUAAUCCUCUCUGCUACUGCCAUAUCCUCACCACUGGGGACAUUGAUUAAUGAAAUAUCCCCAGGCACAUAAAAGGAUUUCCUUGUUUAAUCAAUAUUGUCUAUCUACAGUUUGGAUAUGAAGGCCAAGAUAUGGAGAUUGAGGUCAGUGACAGAAAUUUCCACUAGAUAAAAGGCGUCCAUCUACAUAGGCAAAGGAUAUUAGCAAUCCUGCAGUGCUGCGACUACUUCCUGGGUCCUGGAACUCUAGUGAUGUCAUCGAGGGAGGGGUCACAGAACACUGCCCAGGCCUUAGUGAUAACUGAUAUCAACAUCAACUGUGGUGCCCAACUGAUCACUGCUCCACACAGUGAUCUGGUCAACACAUAGCUUCUCGUGGUACUUUUUGGUUUGGCUACACAAAUUUCAUUCUUUAUCAUCCUUGACUAACACUGUGAGAGAUAUAUCAGAGAGAAAUUUACCUGAUUUCAGCGAUUCUCCAGAGAGUGAAAUCAUGAACCAUAAACAGAAGAGAAAACAUCUAGAAAGCAGACUCUCACCUCAACCUGCAAAGAUGUCAAGAGGUACAUGUUAGUAUAUUCUCUAAGGAGGGAAUGAGGACUUGUCUUUGAAAUGAGGGAGAAGAAAGGAUUUGUAGUUUGUGGUGUAGGAGUGAAGAAGAGAGAGAGAAGUGGCUGAAUGAGGGAAGAUUUUUGUCUUUCCAAGGGCUCAGGUAGUCUGAGGGUAAAGAGAAGGUUCGGGUGAUCCAGGUUUUAUCUCUGUGGCAGAAGGGUCAGUCUAUUCAGAAUCACUCUAGUUUACACUGUCACAUACACAGUCUAGACAACUUUUUUUCUUUGAAGAAUGGAUUUUCUGUCAUUUGACUUCCUCCUGAGGAUACUGGGAGUGUAAAUGAAGUCUUGAUUUCUGAGUACUUUCUUCAUUUUGAUGAAGAAGAAACUGGUUUGU